rnacentral:rRNA from 1 species
GACGAACGCUGGCGGCGUGCUUAACACAUGCAAGUCGAACGGUGAACCUCUUCGGAGGGGAUCAGUGGCGAACGGGUGAGUAACACGUGGGCAACCUGCCCCCGGCUCUGGGAUAACUCCAAGAAAUUGGGGCUAAUACCGGAUGUUCACCGCUUCCCGCAUGGGUGGUGGUGGAAAGGGUUUCCGGCUGGGGAUGGGCCCGCGGCCUAUCAGCUUGUUGGUGGGGUAGUGGCCUACCAAGGCGACGACGGGUAGCCGGCCUGAGAGGGUGACCGGCCACACUGGGACUGAGACACGGCCCAGACUCCUACGGGAGGCAGCAGUGGGGAAUAUUGCGCAAUGGGCGGAAGCCUGACGCAGCGACGCCGCGUGGGGGAUGACGGCCUUCGGGUUGUAAACCUCUUUCAGCAGGGACGGAGCGCAAGUGACGGUACCUGCAGAAGAAGCACCGGCCAACUACGUG